rnacentral:rRNA from 1 species
GAGUUUGAUCAUGGCUCAGAUUGAACGCUGGCGGCAUGCCUAACACAUGCAAGUCGAACGGUAACGCGGGGGCAACCCUGGCGACGAGUGGCGGACGGGUGAGUAAUACGUAGGAAUCUGCCCAUUAGUGGGGGACAACCCGGCGAAAGCCGGGCUAAUACCGCAUACGCUCUACGGAGGAAAACGGGGGAUCGUAAGACCUCGUGCUAAUGGAUGAGCCUACGUCGGAUUAGCUAGUUGGUAGGGUAACGGCCUACCAAGGCGACGAUCCGUAGCUGGUCUGAGAGGACGAUCAGCCACACUGGGACUGAGACACGGCCCAGACUCCUACGGGAGGCAGCAGUGGGGAAUAUUGGACAAUGGGGGCAACCCUGAUCCAGCAAUGCCGCGUGUGUGAAGAAGGCCUGCGGGUUGUAAAGCACUUUCAGAGGGGAAGAAAAAAUCGGGGCUAAUACCCUCGGUCUUGACGUUACCCUUAGAAGAAGCACCGGCUAACUCCGUGCCAGCAGCCGCAGUAAG